rnacentral:ribozyme from 14 species
UGUUUGUUUCUGCUUUCUGCAUUGGGUGCGUCACUCUUACUCUGGGUUUCUCUUUUCUGUCGUUUUGAAUCGCUGUGGUUUGAAUGGAAACAAGAGCAUUAUACAAAACAACAAGCUGUGAUGACCAGAUAUAAAUUGGGUUGAGCUUCCAUACAUAUAGUGAUUUUUUUUUUAUUAAUUUUUUUUUGUUUGUUUCUCACUCUUUCGUGGAAAAAAGAAAGAUGAUAAAUGAU